AAGCAGAGCUGAGCUGUGACUCAAGCACCGGGCUGGCUGCCACACAGCAUCCCUGUGACACUCAGAUGCCAGCUAACGUGUUCUAAUAAAACUAACCAGUCACAUCGGUCAAACCCUACCUUGAUCCGGUGAUGGGCCCCUGCCCACCCCAAAAUUUCCCGCGUGUUCAUGAAAGACGACUAACUCCAGAACGGAACAUGACGCACGUGCCGAGACAUCAGCAUUGAGUAAGCACCCGCUGUGGGCCAGGCCCGGUCUCAGGACAGCUGCGCGCCCUCCAGACUCCACGGUCCUACAGACAAUGAAUAUUAUGCAACCAAAAUGUCCUGGGAAUUCAGAGCCAAAGGCAGCAUUCUUAGGAAAUGCCUCCCACUCUCCUGCCAUGGCAUAGAGCUCUGCUGGGCUCUGGACCUGCAGAGAAGUUGUUUUAUAGGCCAAGAUGGAUGCUGGAGCUCUAGCCAACACAGCUACCUUCCAGCCAACAGGAAGUUACUCAAGGGCACUUCCCAGAAGCUCCACAAUCUUGGGAUCAUAUCCAAUGUGCUGCCAGGAAUUAGUCACACGACCACACCUAGGCUGGGAAUACAGUCUUCACCCUGGGUAGCCACACAUCCAGCUAAAACAUGCAGGUUGUAUCAUUAGGAAGGAGGUGAGGCUGGAUGCCAGGAGAGGCCGUCAGACUCUGUGGGGCCUGGCCACUGACUCCUCCCCACAGCAAAGUUCCUCCUUUCGAAACUUGCCCUCCUCUCAACCAAAGGAGGUCUCUGUCUUUGCAACUCUGAGAAAAAAAAAAAAUAUAUAUAUAUAUAUAUUUGA